UACGAAGGGGGCAAGCGUUGUUCGGAAUUACUGCGCGUAAAGGGCGCGUAGGCGGCUUAUCAAGUCAGGCGUGAAAUUCCCGGGCUCAACCUGGGGGCUGCGCUUGAUACUGAUGAGCUUGAAUGCGGGAGAGGAUAGUGGAAUUCCCAGUGUAGAGGUGAAAUUCGUAGAUAUUGGGAAGAACACCGGUGGCGAAGGCGGCUAUCUGGCCCGUAAUUGACGCUGAGGCGCGAAAGCGUGGGGAGCAAACAGG
rnacentral:rRNA from 1 species